GACGAACGCUGGCGGCGUGCUUAACACAUGCAAGUCGAACGGAAAGGCCCCUUUGGGGGUACUCGAGUGGCGAACGGGUGAGUAACACGUGAGUAACCUGCCCUUGACUUCGGGAUAACUUCAGGAAACUGGGGCUAAUACCGGAUAGGAAUCCUUGCUGCAUGGUGGGGGUUGGAAAGCUUCGGUGGCUUUGUAUGGACUCGCGGCUCUUCCGCUUGUUGGUGGGGUAGUGGCUUACCAAGGCUUUGACGGGUAGCCGGCCCGGGAGGGCGACCGGCCACAGUGGGACUGAGAUUCGGCCCAGACUCCGACGGGAGGGAGAAGUGGGGAAUAUUGAACAAGGGGCGGAGGCCUGAUGCAGCACCGCCGCGUGCGGGAUGACGGCCUUCGGGUUGUAAACCGCAUUCAGCAGGGGCGGAGCUUGUGGUGACGGUACCUGCAGAAGAAGCACCGGCUAACUACGUG
rnacentral:rRNA from 1 species